rnacentral:rRNA from 1 species
GAUGAACGCUGGCGGCGUGCCUAAUACAUGCAAGUCGAGCGAACAGAUGAGAAGCUUGCUUCUCUGAUGUUAGCGGCGGACGGGUGAGUAACACGUGGGUAACCUACCUAUAAGACUGGGAUAACUCCGGGAAACCGGUGCUAAUACCGAAUAGUUUCUGACACCUCAUGGUGUCAGAGGGAAAGUUGGCUUUUAGCUAACACUUACGGAUGGGCCCGCGGCGCAUUAGCUAGUUGGUGAGGUAACGGCUCACCAAGGCGACGAUGCGUAGCCGACCUGAGAGGGUGAUCGGCCACACUGGGACUGAGACACGGCCCAGACUCCUACGGGAGGCAGCAGUAGGGAAUCUUCCGCAAUGGACGAAAGUCUGACGGAGCAACGCCGCGUGAGUGAAGAAGGUUUUCGGAUCGUAAAACUCUGUUGUUAGGGAAGAACAAGUAUCGGAGUAACUGCCGGUACCUUGACGGUACCUGACCAGAAAGCCACGGCUAACUACGUGCCAGCCGCCGCAGUAA